rnacentral:rRNA from 1 species
AGGAAAUAGAUACCCGGGUAGUCCACGCCCUAAACGAUGUCAACUAGUUGUUGGGGGAGUAAAAUCCCUUAGUAACGCAGCUAAACGCGUGAAAGUUGACCGCCUGGGGAGUACGGUCGCAAGAUUAAAACUCAAAGGAAUUGACGGGGCCCGCACAAGCGGUGGAUUAUGUGGAUUAAUUCGAUGCAACGCGAAAAAACCUUAACCUGGCCUUGACAUGCCACUAACGAAGCAGAGAUGCAUUAGGUGCCCGAAAGGGAAAGUGGACACAGGUGCUGCAUGGCUGUCGUCAGCUCGCGUCGUGAGAUGUUGGGUUAAGUCCCGCAACGAGCGCAACCCUUGCCAAUAAUUGCCAUCAUUCAGUUGGGCACUUUAUUGGGACUGCCGGUGACAAACCGGAGGAAGGUGGGGAUGACGUCAAGUCCUCACG